UCUAGCCUAUUAAUAGCAGUCUCCUAUUCACUAUAGGGGGACCCUGCUUCUUAGAGGGACAAGUGGCGUUCAGCCACGCGAGAUUGAGCAAUAACAGGUCUGUGAUGCCCUUAGAUGUUCGGGGCCGCACGCGCGCUACACUGAAGGACUCAACAGGUAUUUCUCCCCCGCCUGAAAAGGUCGGGUAAUCCUUUGAACCUCCUUCGUGCUAGGGAUUGGGGCUUGCAACUGUUCCCCAUGAACGAGGAAUUCCCAGUAGGCGCGAGUCAUCAGCUCGCGUCGAUUACGUCCCUGCCCUUUGUA
rnacentral:rRNA from 1 species